GUCGGCUCCCAUGGAGAAGGGGGUACACCCGGCUCCAUUCCGAACCCGGAAGUUAAGCCCUUCAUCGCCGAUGAUACUGCAUACUCUUGUGUGGGAACGUAGGCCGGGGCCGACA
rnacentral:rRNA from 1 species